rnacentral:rRNA from 1 species
AGGAUGAACGCUGGCGGCAGGCUUAAUACAUGCAAGUCGAACGGUAACGACUGGUAGCAAUACUGGGGCGACGAGUGGCGCACGGGUGCGUAACGCGUAUGCAACCUACCCUCAACCGGGGCAUAACGCCGAGAAAUUGGCGCUAAUAUCCCAUGUGUAUAGGAAGUGGCAUCACUACCCAUAUAAAGAUCCGUUGGUUAAGGAUGGGCAUGCGUAACAUUAGCUGGUUGGCGGGGUAACGGCCCACCAAGGCGACGAUGUUUAGGGGUUCUGAGAGGAUUCACCCCACACCGGAACUGAGACACGGUCCAGACUCCUACGGGAGGCAGCAGUAGGGAAUAUUGGGCAAUGGAGGCAACUCUGACCCAGCCAUGCCCGCGUGAAGGAAGACGGCCCUAUGGGUUGUAAACUUCUUUUGCCGCAGAGUAACCCGGGGACGCGUCCCCGCUGAGAGUAUGCGGCGAAUAAGUAUCGGCUAACUCCGUGCCAGCCGCUGC